rnacentral:rRNA from 1 species
UAGGGAAUCUUCGGCAAUGGACGAAAGUCUGACCGAGCAACGCCGCGUGAGUGAAGAAGGUUUUCGGAUCGUAAAACUCUGGUGUUAGAGAAGAACAAGGACGUUAGUAACUGAACGUCCCCUGACGGUAUCUAACCAGAAAGCCACGGCUAACUACGUGCCAGCAGCCGCGGUAAUACGUAGGUGGCAAGCGUUGUCCGGAUUUAUUGGGCGUAAAGCGAGCGCAGGCGGUUUCUUAAGUCUGAUGUGAAAGCCCCCGGCUCAACCGGGGAGGGUCAUUGGAAACUGGGAGACUUGAGUGCAGAAGAGGAGAGUGGAAUUCCAUGUGUAGCGGUGAAAUGCGUAGAUAUAUGGAGGAACACCAGUGGCGAAGGCGGCUCUCUGGUCUGUAACUGACGCUGAGGCUCGAAAGCGUGGGGAGCAAACAGG